UUGGAGGGCAAGUCUGGUGCCAGCAGCCGCGGUAAUUCCAGCUCCAAUAGCGUAUAUUAAAGUUGUUGCAGUUAAAAAGCUCGUAGUUGAAUUUCGGGACCAAUUUGUUGGUCGUGCCUCGGUACGUACUGGUAUUAUUGGUUUCUCCCUUCUGAAGAACCUUGAUGUCAUUAAUUUGGUGUCUUGGGGAAUCAGGACUGUUACUUUGAAAAAAUUAGAGUGUUUAAAGCAGGCAUACGCUUGAAUACAUUAGCAUGGAAUAAUGAAAUAGGACGUUUGAUUCUAUUUUGUUGGUUUCUAGGAUCGACGUAAUGAUUAAUAGGGAUAGUUGGGGGCAUUAGUAUUCAAUUGUCAGAGGUGAAAUUCUUGGAUUUAUUGAAGACUAACUACUGCGAAAGCAUUUGCCAAGGAUGUUUUCAUUAAUCAAGAACGAAAGUUAGGGGAUCGAAGACGAUCAGAUACCGUCGUAGUCUUAACCAUAAACUAUGCCGACUAGGGAUCGGAUGAUGCUUAUUUUUUAAUGACUCAUUCGGCGCCUUACGGGAAAC
rnacentral:rRNA from 1 species